AGUGAACGCUGGCGGCAGGCCUAACACAUGCAAGUCGAGCGGCAGCGCGGGGGCAACCCUGGCGGCGAGCGGCGGACGGGUGAGGAAUGCAUCGGAAUCUACCUCGUUGUGGGGGAUAACCUCGGGAAACCGGGACUAAUACCGCAUACGACCUACGGGUGAAAGUGGGGGACCUUCGGGCCUCACGCGAUGAGAUGAGCCGAUGCCGGAUUAGCUAGUUGGCGGGGUAAAGGCCCACCAAGGCGACGAUCCGUAGCUGGUCUGAGAGGAUGAUCAGCCACACUGGAACUGAGACACGGUCCAGACUCCUACGGGAGGCAGCAGUAGGGAAUAUUGGACAAUGGGCGCAAGCCUGAUCCAGCCAUGCCGCGUGAGUGAAGAAGGCCCUCGGGUUGUAAAGCUCUUUUGUCCGGAAAGAAAGCGCCGGGUUAAUACCCUGGUGUCCUGACGGUACCGAAGAAUAAGCACGCUAACUUCGUGCCAGCAGCCGCGGUAAUAGUGU
rnacentral:rRNA from 1 species